rnacentral:rRNA from 1 species
UACGGAGGGUGCGAGCGUUGUCCGGAAUCACUGGGCGUAAAGGGCGCGUAGGCGGCGCGGCAAGUCAACGGUGAAAGCUUGGGGCUCAACCCCGAGUCGGCCGUCGAUACUUCCGUGCUCGAGCACUGUAGAGGCAGGUGGAAUUCCGCGUGUAGCAGUGAAAUGCGUAGAGAUGCGGAGGAACACCGAUGGCGAAGGCAGCCCCCUGGGCUAACACUGACGCUCAGGCACGAAAGCGUGGGGAGCAAACAGG